ensembl:snRNA U1 U1 spliceosomal RNA
AUACUUACCUGGCUAGGUGGUUUUCCCAGGGUGCCACUUAGCCAUUGUACUUUGGAUGUACUGACCUCUGCGAUUUCCCCAAAUGUGAAAAAAUCAAUUGCAUAAUUUGUGUAGUGGAGGACUGUGUUCACGCUAUCCUCUG